rnacentral:lncRNA from 1 species
GUGUUGCUUCUUUCAAUCGGUGUUGUUGGUCUACGCCGUGCAGCGAGCCACUGUUGCCGAUGGCAUUAGUGUCAGGGAAGUUCCAACCCAGUUGUGAAAAGGCUUGAUGUACCCAGUGGUGCCCCUCGGCACUAUUAAUGUUAUUUCCCGGCCCAAUUAGGCCUUAAACCCAGCCCACAAAGCCCGAAAAAAAAAUAGGGGAAGAAGACUCCCGAUCGGAGUCUUCUCCUUCCUUGAUUUUG